GGUUCCAUGGUGUAAUGAUUAGCACUCUGGACUCAGAAUCUAGCGAUUCCAUUUCAAAUCUCGGUGGAACCU
rnacentral:tRNA from 1 species